CGAUUAAUAGGUUUUAAAAUUUAAGAUGUUUGUUAUUCCGCGAUGUAUUUUGAUAGAUGCUUGACAAGGGGGUGUAUGAAUGUGUUUUGAUAGUUAUAUGUAGUGUUUGCAAUAAAAUGUUCUAAUUUAGUGAAGAUCGUAUAUGCAUCGUAUAAAUCACUACAUUUUAAGUUUCAUAGAUGAAAGAUGUUCACAUUUUGCGGCUAUGCUUGUUCUACUUGCAAAAAAUUCGAAGAACUAUCACACAUAUGAUUUAUGUGGGUCCAAUUUCAUCAGUUUUGGUAUCUAAACCGUUUUAGGUAUCAGUUACUGACGUUAGAGUUGUAGAUGAGACUCACCGUCAUACUCAUGAUCUUCUUUGAUUUUUAAAUUUACCUCUUCCCACAUUUUUAUGGAAUUUAUGGAAGCCUAUUGGUAUUUUUUUUUUUUGUUUGAGUUUUUGUUGCUAGCCGGUUAGGCUCAGUGUUGUAAAAAUAAUUUGGACUGAAUUACAAAUGUUAAAAAUCGGCUUUGGUAUUAUAUGUAUUAAGUUAUCUGUUCUUAAAAACUAGGAUGUAAAAUCAAAACUUCAUCCCAAAUUUAAAAUAUCAAAGGAAUGUUAUUUAUUCUAAUUACAAAAUAGUUAUAUAUAAUUAAAUCAUUAGUAUUAAAAUUAUUUUUGAUUUGUAAAUACAAUUAUAAUAAUGUUUAUUUCUUUUCCAUCAUGAUUAAACAAAAAUGUAUAUUUAAUUUUGGCAUUAAAAAAUUACAAACUGUGUUUUAUACUUGUUUAUUACGUUAUUGUUUUUGGUUCAAAAAGUGCUUGUCAAAACACUAUAUAAUUGCAAUAUAUAUAUUAAUCCCAAAAAGCGAAGAUGCUUAUAUACUUCUUUUCUUCAACACGCAGCUCAUGUUCCACCAACAAACAUCAACAAGUGUACGUUCAAGUCCAAACAAAGAGGAUAAUCUUUAGGGGGGGGGGGGGGGGGGGGGGGGGGGGGGGUCAUCAAGAUCUCCCAAAGCAAAAGUAAUAGAAAGAGUGAAAAAAGGAAUAGACAAGACAUAACAAAAAGAAGGUGAGAUGUCCCGAGAAGAGUUAUAUGUGAGAACAAUUUUGUAACCUGUCUUUUUGUUCACCAAACGAAGCUAACAAUGGCAACACAAUUAUCAUGUAAAGUCCUCAAGGAAAAGCCCAAAAUGCUAAAAAAAAAAAAAAAUUCAGUAAAAUGUAAAAAGGGUGUAUUCAGCAGAUAGUUUUAGGUGAUUUGUAUUAAAAUUACAAAUUCACUACUGUUCAAACAUAAAGUUAAAAACUCAUUUAAAAUCCAU
rnacentral:lncRNA from 1 species